CUUGCUUAUGAAGUGAAAGUAGUAGGAGAAUGAGAGAGAGGCUGGUUAAAUAUACAGCGACAUUAAAAUAAUAUCUAAAGUAAUUUACUUAUCUCUUUCUGGAUUAAGUACGACACUUCUCCCUCCUGUAUUUAAUCAUUCUGUCAGGCCGAUUCACCAGUAGACCCAGAGAAUGUUCAUUACUCCAUUCUUAAAGAUUCUCCAGCUAACCAGAUAUCAAAUGUCCUGCUGCUGUCUUCCGUUUAUCGAAGGAUUAACAUGCAUGUUUUGAUAUUGAUGUUGAUGUGCAUAGACUUUUCUGUUUGGAUUGUAUAUACCAGUCAUCAGAAUAGGAGGUACCCUUAUUACAGACACAAGGAACCGCCCAUUUUCCGGGGUAUUUCAAACCUUACACAGCACUUUCUUCAUCAAAGGACCUCUUCAACUAUUAGACCCACGGUCAUUAGGCCUUCCAGUAAAAGACACACAUUUGCCAGACCUACAACGGCAAAAGCGAAAAUUAACGGCCUCAUCGUUCGAAACAAAAAGGACAUCUUUAUAAUAAAAAUGUGCCAAUAUUUUCAACAUAAGGAGACUAUCAAUUGGUUUCAAAGAUACUUUUGUAUUCGAGAUUUCAACCCGAUUUGGUGACAUACACUUUGAACUAGAGGCAAUUAAAGAUUCUUUUUUCCUGUUCAGAUCACGAUCUUCCAGCAAAAGCCUUGUUAAUUACUGCAGGAUGUGAUCUAAUAGAAGUAUGUACCAUGUACAGACGCAUUAGUAAUUCACAGUGUGAUAUUUGGCUACACUACGGUACCAUUGUAUGUAUGCAUAAUUGCAGCAAUAUGAAAAUAUUGAAGGUGUGGUGUAUAUUUCUUCUGACAUUGUUAUACUUCUGUGAAAUCGUCCAGCAAUUAUAAAGCAUUUUCUGUCUGUAAUCGCACCUCUGACUAAUUGUUUAUUACAACUUUUAUUAUUUAUUCAUUGUCAAAAUAUUUUUGGGUGCAUUUUUUUUUUAAAUUGUUUAUAUCAAAAUGUUGGGGGUGAAUAAAUACACAGCAGUAUAUAUGUACAUGUUUUUCUUUCAUGUUUUAAUCUUUGAUUGGUUUCUUUUUAUAAUCAUUGCAAAACAUGGAUUUGUCUAAUUACAUGAAUUUGCAUGGGCGAUGCACUGAUCGUAUUAUGUAUCUUUCAAAAUAAUGCAAACACGGUCUGUGAAAUUAAUCUUUAUGCGCAAUAGCAGAAUCACGAAUGAAUUGAUUAAUUCCUAAUUAUCUUUCAAUUGUCAUAAACAAGGAAAAGGUCGGAAUAUCAUUGUAUUAUAUCAUUUCCUUUUUUUAAUAUCAAUACACUUUCAUGCUUAGUGCAUCUGCAGAAUUCCAUGUUUAGUAAUUUAUUUUUUUGUUUUUCAUUUAUUGUGAAUCACUUUUUUUUUUAAUUGUAAUUAAAAUUCCAAAAAGAAAGAUCAUUAAAGAGGUGAAGUUUUUGGCACAAAAUACUAAAAGGGGAAAAGAUAUAUUUCAAUUCCGACUCCACAAUUAACAAACAAUAUUCAAGCUCAAAACUCUAUUAUAACAAUACAAAUCAUUCGCAGAAAUAUUUUUCAUAAAACGAAUUUGCCUUUGAUGCUUUUUUUAUUAUUAGUCAGUGAUGGAUAAAUUGUAUUUUAAAAGUAUAAAAUAUAUUAUUUUUUGUUAGAUUGAAUUGCAUCCUUAGCUUUAUUCUUGUGUGACAGAAAUGUUAUCUCAAGCGAAGAAGAGUUGUAACAGUUCUGACUAUUUUUGAUAUACGGGCAUAUUUAUUUUACUUUAAUGUUGAAAUAAAAUCAAACAAGUUUAUGUUUAUGUUUGGAAUUUGUACGAUCAUUUUACAAAAAUAUAUCUAUAUAAAUAAGUGGUAGUGCAGAUUAAAA